rnacentral:rRNA from 1 species
UACGUAGGGACCAAGCGUUACUCGGAAUUACUGGGCGUAAAGCGUGCGUAGGUGGUGAGUUAAGUCUGUCGUGAAAGCCCCCGGGCUCAACCUGGGAAUGGCGAUGGAUACUGGCUCGCUAGAGUGCGGUAGAGGAGAGUGGAAUUCCCGGUGUAGCAGUGAAAUGCGUAGAGAUCGGGAGGAACAUCAGUUGCGAAGGCGGCUCUCUGGACCAGCACUGACACUGAGGCACGAAAGCGUGGGGAGCAAACAGG